AGAAUCACCUAGAGGGCUUAUUAAAACAGUCGCUGAGCCCAGCCCCAGAUCUCUGAUUCAGUAGUUCUGGGCUCAGGCCCAAGAAUUUGCAUUUCUAAAAAUUUCCCAGGUGAUUCUGAUGCUGCUGGUCUGGGAACUCGCUUUGAGAACCGGUGUAUUAUACAUUUUAUGUCUAUUGCCUGUCUCUUUCCCCCAGAAGAAUAUCUCGUGUGUGGAAGUGACACAAAAGUUUUAUGUCUCGCUCUCUUUCCCAUCUUGCAAGAUGGCGGGUGAAAAAGUUGAGAAGCCAGAUACUAAAGAGAAGAAACCCGAAGCCAAGAAGGCUGAUGCUGGUGGCAAGGUGAAAAAGGGUAACCUCAAGGCUAAGAAGCCCAAGAAGCGGAAGCCCCAUUGCAGCCGCAACCCUGUCCUUGUCAGAGGAAUUGGCAGGUAUUCCCGAUCUGCCACGUAUUCCAGAAAGGCCAUGUACAAGAGGAAGUACUCAGCCGCUAAAUCCAAGGUUGAAAAGAAAAAGAAGGAGACGGUUCUUGCAACUCUUACAAAACCAGUUGGUGGUGACAAGAACGGCGGUACCUGGGUGGUUAAACUUUGCAAAAUGCCUAGAUAUUAUCCUACUGAAGAUGUUCCUCGAAAGCUGUUGAGCCACGGCAAAAAACCCUUCAGUCAGCACAUGAGAAAACUGCGAACCAGCAUUACCCCCGGGACCAUUCUGAUCAUCCUCACUGGACGCCACGGGGGCAAGAGGGUGGUUUUCCUGAAGCAGUUGGCUAGUGGCUUGUUACUUGUGACUGGACCUCUGGUCCUCAAUCGAGUUCCUCUACGAAGAACACACCAGAAAUUUGUCAUUGCCCCCUCAACCAAAAUCAAUUAUCAGCAAUGUCAAAAUCCCAAAACAUCUUACUGAUGCUUACUUCAAGAAGAAGCAGCUGCAGAAGCCCAGACACCAGGAAGGUGAAAUCUUCGACACAGACAAAGAGAAAUAGGAGAUUACAGAGCAGGGCAAGAUUGAUCAGAAAGCUGUGGACUCACAAAUUCUACUAAAAAUCAAAGCUGUUCCUCAGGUCCAGGGCUACCUGCGAUCUGUGUUUGCCCUGACGAAUGGAAUUUAUCCUCACAAAUUGGUGUUCUAAAUGUCUUAAGAACCUCAUUAAAUAGCUAACUACAAAAAAAAAAAAAAAAAAAAAA